GCCUUCCUACGGGAGGCAGCAGUGAGGAAUAUUGGUCAAUGGGCGGAAGCCUGAACCAGCCAAGUCGCGUGAGGGAAGAAGGCCCUGCGGGUCGCAGACCUCUUUGGACGGGGAGCAAGGCCGCCGACGUGUCGGCGGAAGGAGAGUACCCGUAGAACAAGCAUCGGCUAACUCCGGGCCAGCAGCCGCGGGAAUACGGAGGAUGGGAGCGUUAUCCGGAUUUAUUGGGUUUAAAGGGGGCGCAGGCGGCACGGCAAGCCGGCGGUCAAAUCGCGGGGCGCAACCCCGCCCAGCCGGCGGCACUG
rnacentral:rRNA from 1 species